rnacentral:tRNA from 2 species
UCCUGGUUAGGUCAGUUGGUAGAGUGCUCCACUGAAAAUGGAGAGAUCCCUGGUUUGAAACCAGGAUCAGGCG